rnacentral:rRNA from 1 species
ACUUCCUACGGGAUGCAGCAGUAUGUACUCUUCCACCAUUUCCUAAAGUCUGAUGGAGCAACGCCGCGUGAGUGAAGAAGGGUUUCGGCUCGUAAAGCUCUGUUGGUAGUGAAGAAAGAUAGAGGUAGUAACUGGCCUUUAUUUGACGGUAAUUACUUAGAAAGUCACGGCUAACUACGUGCCAGCAGCCGCGGUAAUACGUAGGUGGCAAGCGUUGUCCGGAUUUAUUGGGCGUAAAGCGAGUGCAGGCGG